UUUGCAAGUUAUUAACUAAAAUUAUUACUAGCUGCUAAAGAAACGCUUGGGUUGUUUAGAUCUUUUAUAUGUAAAAUGAUAUAUUAUGUAACUGAAGAAGAAUCUAACCUAAUUGAAUAAUUUCCUUUAAAUUAAUCUAAGCUUACAAAAUAAGUUUCAUCAGCCAACAUUAUUUAAAAUUAAAAUCAUGCUGAUUUCGAACCUCGAGUUUCAGGAGGCAGAAAAGUAAUUCCACUGCCAUCGCACAUACGUCGAAAGUGACCAUUAUUAUGAUAAAGUACGGCUGGGGGACCAUACUCUACCAAUACACCCUUAUCCAAGACCAUGACUUUGUCAUAAUCAACAAUAGUUUUCAAACGAUGGGCAAUACAUAACAUAGUUGCAUCGCCAAAUGCUUCACGCAAUGUUUUUUGAAUUUUCUGAUCCAUAGCAUCAUCCACAGAGGCAGUACACUCAUCUAGAAUAAUAAUUUUGGAACGUCUAACUAUUGCGCGUGCUAAUGCAAGGACUUGUUUUUGCCCUUGUGAAAAAUUAGAACCUUCAGAAGCAACAUGUGUAUCUAGUGUGAUAUGAAUAGGUUUUUGAUCAUCAGUAUGAGCCAUAAUCAUUGAACUGGCUCCACUUGUUUUGAGAGCUUCAUUAAGAAAAUUGUCUUCAAGCUCGUCGAAAGGAUCUAAAUUACUGCGUACGGUACCUGAAAAUAAGAUUGGAUCUUGAGGGAUAAAUGAUAUACGUUGCCUUAAAGCGUUUAGGUUUACCGAUUGUGUUUCACGACCGUUAAUAUAUAUUUCACCACUAAUACGAUGUGUAAACCGUAAUAGUGUAAGGCCAAGAGUACUCUUUCCGCUACCAGUACGACCGACCACAGCAACCUUUUCACUCGGAUUUAUAUGAAGAUUCACGUCUUUAAGGAUAGUAGGACCGGCUGCGGAAUAGCUAACACUAACAUGAUUAAACACAAUAUCUCCCUCCUUAGGCCAUGUAGCUGGUACCUGGCCUGCAAUAGUGGGUGCUGGUUCUUGCGGAAGUUUGCUAUACUCUAAAACUCGUUCAUAGCUGUUCAUCUCAGCUUGCAACGAAUUACAUGACCUUACAAAUAACAGAACCGAAGAACUGAAAAUAACAGCCUGAUUAAGAGAAAAACCCACCACACCUGGAGACAAGUCUUUCUGCAAAAGAGCGAUUAAACCGGCAAUUGCACCAACUAGACCACUGAUGCCAUCUGUUCUAACAGCAACCCAUCUGUUCAAAUUAUAAGAGGUUGAUUGUAAGCGCACGAGAUUAUCAAGUCGCUCAGAAAACAUUUGCUUAAAAAUGGUUUGUCGAUUGAAUGCGCGAAUUACACUCACACCGACGAUACUUUCGCCAAGCAGACUAAAGAUAGGAGAAGUAUAAAUUGAAAUUAAUCUUUUAACGCCAACCUGUGCCCUAGUAUACAACAAGCCGAAGUAAUAUCCUGCUAAACAAACUAUUACUGCAGGUAUCAUGAAAAUAGGCAUAGCGGAAGACACCGAUAAAAUACCUCCAGCGACGGAUAGGAAACAAUUAAUGGAAAAGAAAAGCCAUCCCGAUAAAUUCAUAUCAAUAGACCUUAUAUCUUUAGCAAAUCUAUUGACAAUUCUCCCCGUUGGCGUUUUAUCGAACCAAGAGGCAAAGGUACCGAAUACGCUUUCAAGCAUAGAAUCGUGAAGCUUUCUUGAUGCCCACCAAGCACCGCGGUCAUAAGACACGGUUCUCAAAAAAUCAAGCAAAGAAUAUGCUAAUAACAUUGUACCAUACACAAACAAAAACUUGUUAUUAUUGACGUCAGGAGAAUUCACGGAGCUGUUUGUCCAAAAAGCAACCCACAAAUCGAUCAAAAUUGAAGUAGCUUGAGUAGUGACGAAAAACAGUAAAACAGCAGCGACGUAAAAUCCAGAGCCAAAAUGUUUCAUAUAGCUAAAGAUUUCACUAAAUACAACAUCGCCUGUAACCCGCUGCUCUUCCUCAACCAGCUUUCCAUCUUUUUCGUCAGCAGCUUCCGCAUCAUCGACUUCAUUUGGGAUAGGUAUAGCAGCAAGAUCUGGAGCAGCUGCUUCGGAAGCUGAUGCUGCCUGCUCAGCCAAAAAUAAAAGAGGGGAUGACUUAUCAGUAACGGGAAAAGCAGAUCCAUUCUUGACAGUAACUAUGAAAGCAGCAGAAUCCAUAAAUAAAUGGACAUUGUGUGUUACUAAAAUAACUGUUCUAUUCUCCAUCAGAGAACUUUGAAAGCAAUGCUUAUAAAUCCAAUUGGAAGUAUGAAUAUC
rnacentral:lncRNA from 1 species